CAAAAAGUAGCUUAAAAAAGCAUCCAACUUACAAUUGGAAGAAGCCGAAACCUACCGACCUUUUUGA
rnacentral:tRNA from 1 species